AGGUGCAUGUCCACCUCAUCUCCGUUCCAUUCGACGAGCUCUCGGUUGCUGAUGAGCUGUCGAACCAAGGUGAUGACCCGGCUAAAGUUCUCGUGGCUAGCUCCAGAGGCGCUUGGUCGCGAGCUGGAUCCACCACAUUCAGCAGUAGCAGUGGAGAUUGGCAGUGGUGGCGGGAGACCCCCCGGAUGAGCAGAAGCGCCCCCAGCAGGAGGAGCAGAUGGACCAAGAGAUUGGCCU
rnacentral:lncRNA from 1 species